UACGUAUGGGGCAAGCGUUAUCCGGAUUCAUUGGGCGUAAAGAGCGCGUAGGCGGCUUGGUAAGUCAGAUGUGAAAACUGGGGGCUCAACCCGCAGCCUGCAUCUGAAACUGCCAGGCUUGAGUCUGGUAGAGGAAAGUGGAAUUCCUAGUGUAGCGGUGAAAUGCGCAGAUAUUAGGAGGAACACCAGUGGCGAAGGCGGCUUUCUGGGCCACGACUGACGCUGAGGCGCGAAAGCUAGGGGAGCAAACAGG
rnacentral:rRNA from 1 species